rnacentral:rRNA from 1 species
UACGUAGGGGGCAAGCGUUGUCCGGAUUUACUGGGCGUAAAGAGCGUGUAGGCGGCCAAGCAGGUCCGUUGUGAAAACUGGAGGCUUAACCUCCAGACGUCGACGGAAACCGCGUGGCUAGAGUCCGGAAGAGGAGAGUGGAAUUCCUGGUGUAGCGGUGAAAUGCGUAGAUAUCUGGAGGAAUACCGGUGGCGAAGGCGGCAUCCUGGACCGACAUUGACGCUGAGGAGCGAAAGCCAGGGGAGCAAACGGG